GCUGGAUCAAUCCAGAUGAUAUUCCGUUAAGUUCUCUCUUUUGAUUUCUGUUGUCUCUCAGGCACAAACUGGGAUGGUUUGAAGAAGAGGAUGAGCAAGUUCCUUCAGUCUCAUCAUGGCAGCACGAAGCAAACGAACACUGUCCAGGUUCUGCAGCUCCGUGUGUUUCUCGCCGUGUUUCCAUCCUGUCGAACACUCAGCGCCUGCCCUGCACGCAUUUCGGAAGCGAAGGACUUUCCUAAUUACAGUGCGAACAAUCCGAGCUGAUGGCUCCCAGCCUUUGCCACAGCAGCUGUUUGAUGGAAACAAUCAGCACUUUUUGGAGAGACCAAUGCAGCUGAGGCAGCUCCUGCAGGCCUGCUGGUGGUUCCUCCAGCUGUGCCUGCAUCCUUUUGUGCUGUGCCCAACAAGCCGGGCAUGCACUUUUGGUGUGUUUUGCAUCAGAUCCACCCAAAUUCAAACGAGCAGGGAAAGUUACUCUUCUGGACACCAACUUUUCACAGUGACUACUUGCUCACAGGCACAGUGGGGGGUUGGAUGCUGAGGAUGGGGAUGUGAUGUUCCCUGUUGCGAGGGGACAGCGGUGGCCUUGGACCUGCAGCCACCAGCCCAGCACCCAGCAGGGGAUGUGGUGUUAGGGGAUCACCCUCCUCCUCCUUUAUAGUGGCACCUCUGGAGAGAAUUGCUUUGAAAGCACUGCUUUGUUCAGCAGCUCCUCUGGACUGUCUGGUCCUCAGACAGCGCUGGAUGUCUGAGCGGAGACAUCAGAGCCUUCCUGAAGCUGUUAUAACUUAAUCUGGCAGGCCAGCCUGCUCCGGCACCUCUUGCCAAGAGAGGAAGCCAGAGCACUAGAUGAUUUUCAGACAUUAGUGACUGCCAUAAAUCACAAAGCAGAAGUUAUCAAGUGCUCUGCUAAUGGACGUUUCCUUCCAGAGUAUCCCCUCUUGGGCUGUGCAGGGGCACAGAGGCUGCUCUCAGUGGGGGAAGCCAAGGGAGCUGUGCCAAGGCUGGGAAACAUGCUGAGGAAAGAGGCACCAGGCCCCAAUUCCAGCCUGACUGCUGCACUGCUGUGGCUGCUGCUGCUGCUCUUUGUGGGAGCUCAGACCCCCCCAGCCCCAUACAGAUAGCCAUGCUUUGGGAGCAGUGCAAAUCCCAAGUCAUCAAGAGGAAGGCACCAUUGGAGGCCAACCUGCAAAUGACUUAAAGUGCAGAAGGGAGAUUUCAGCCAAUCUGAGUGCUGGGCAGGGUUUAAACUGCGUGGAAGGAGUCGAUGCUUUGGUGCUGAGAUGGUUCUGCUCCAUGCUGUGCUUCCUGGCUCCUUAUAGCUGACAUGGCAAAGGGCUCGGGGCUCUACCCCCUUCCCUUCGAUGCUGAUUCCCAAUCAAAGCGAUGCACUCCUUGAGGAGCAGCAAACUGUUUAAUAUUUAAACCUGAACAGCCCAGGCAAAGCUGCUUUUCUUUUUUAUUUAUUCUUUUAAUUAAAUGCCAAUUAGAAAGGGAGGGAGAGAGAGAGGAAAAAAAAAAGGCAUUAAACACUUAAAUAC
rnacentral:lncRNA from 1 species